CAGGAACCUGAAAGCCCCGGAUGUUUCUUGUACCACCGCCUGCAAAUCUGUUUAGAGGCCCAGCAAGGAACUGUGGGAAAUGCAGUCGUCAAAGCUUUGUUGGCUAUAAAGGGUAUAACAUCUGGAGCUGCUCCUUUGACAAUGAACAGGGAAAUAUGUCAUGGAUGACACUGAGAGGAGCCAGGGCAAUGCUUGUGGAAAAAGGUGCUGUAGAAGGGACACUGCUGCUCCAGAGACAGUCAUCAAUGGGGGCCCGUGGAGCGACAGGGUGAAGCUCUGCUCCUGGCUGGAGGAGGAUCUGCUGCUGCUGCUGUUGGGCACGGCGCUCUCUGCCUCCCGCCAGAGCUUCGACUGCAGAUUGAAGGUGGCAACAAAGCCAGAUCUGUCUCUGUCUCUGCUGCCAUCUGAUAUAGAGCUAUCAGUAUUAAAUUGAGACUGUUUCAUAACCCAUUAAAAACGCCUUGUAGUUGCGUUAAAUAGCAACCCUUUUCUGUGUUAUGGUACAGCUGGUGUUCACACCUGAUGUGUACCGUACCAGAGUAUACAUGAACCAAACUGGAGACCACUUUUUAAGUAGGCUAUACCCUAGCACUGCCCAUAAUCCAGGCCUGGAUCCCUGAUGUGAACGGAAAGUCCCCUAAAGCUCAUUCGGGUAUAAAAAAGGAAUUCAUUGUCUACAGAGCAGCU